rnacentral:misc_RNA from 1 species
AAAAAAAUGUCCCUACUGCUUUGUUGUCAAAAUAAAGUGGGGAAUUUGAAUUUUAAACUUUCUAUACUCAAACCUGUUGAGUAUAGUCACUUGCCGCGUUUACGGAAGCCACGCCUUCUAUAUUUAUACUUUAGUUAUUUGCAAACAAUUGUCAUAAUAUUCAGUCAAAGCUGAUUGGUAGGACCUAAUCAGCCUACGUGUACAUAAUUUGUUGUAACUUUAAAUUUAUUUUUACAAACGAUCUUUAACUUUAGACUAUUUACAUUAAAAUUCGACUUUUUUACAUUUUAAAAUGCGGAUUGUUACAUGCAUUGCUCCAGUAAACAUUGCUGUGAUAAAAUACUGGGGUAAAAGAAAUGAAGAACUUAUUCUUCCAAUAAAUGAUUCUAUAAGCGCAUCUUUGGAUACAAAUCAAAUGUGUGCUAAAACUACUGUGAUGAUCAGUCCUGAUUUUGAAUCAGAUAGAAUUUGGUUGAAUGGAAGGGAAGAGUCUAUAGAUAAUAAAAGACUACAAAGAUGCAUUCAAGAAAUUAGAAAAAGGGUAGCUGUUUCUGGUGGAACUUUGAGUGAAGAAAUUUGCCAAUGGAAAAUACAUAUUUGUUCCGAAAAUAAUUUUCCAACAGCGGCUGGUUUAGCAUCAAGUGCAGCGGGUUAUGCAUGUCUUGCAGCUGCUUUAGCAAAGUUGUAUGAUUUCACAGGUAACAUAAGUGAAAUAGCACGUUUAGGAUCUGGAUCUGCAUGCAGAAGUGUUUACGGUGGAUUUGUAAGGUGGUAUAUGGGAUCAGAUCCAACAGGAAGAGAUAGUAUUGCAAAACAAAUAGCUCCUGAAACUCAUUGGCCUGAAAUGAGAAUCAUUGUGUUAGUUGUAAAUGAUAGUAAAAAAAAAGUUUCAAGUGCAAUAGGAAUGAAACGAAGUGUUGAAACAUCUAAAUUGCUUGAAUAUCGUGCUAAACAUGUGCCACAAAAAGUUGAAGAAAUGCAUCAAGCUAUUCUCGAUAAGAAUUUUUCCAAGUUUGCAGAAUUAACAAUGAGAGACUCAAAUCAAAUGCAUGCAGUUUGUUUAGAUACUUUCCCUCCGUGUUUUUAUUUAAAUGAUAUAUCAUGUACAAUUAUCCAACUGAUAAAUGCUUAUAACAGUGCAUUUGAUAGUAUUAAAGUAAGAAAUCAAAGUAAAAGAAGGUUGCAUAUACAAAUGAUGCUGGUCCUAAUACAGUUUUGUAUCUUCUUGAAGAAAAUGUUCCUUUAGUUCUUGGACUUAUAGAUUUCUUUUUUCCUCCAUCCACCAUUUCAGGUCAAUUAUAUAAAAAAGGAAAUCCUCCAGAAAGUAUUACUCCCACCAAAAAAUUGUUGGAAAAAAUAGAUUUACAGCCCCAACCAAUAGGAAGUAUUCGUAAUAUAAUAUAUACGCGUAUUGGUUGUGGAUCUACUCAACUUCAAAAUCCUUCAGAGCAUCUUUUAGAUAAUAAUGGUCUUCCAAAAAAU